rnacentral:rRNA from 1 species
GAUGAACGCUGGCGGCGUGCCUAACACAUGCAAGUCGAACGGAAAGGCCCUGCUCUUGUGGGGUGCUCGAGUGGCGAACGGGUGAGUAACACGUGAGUAACCUGCCCUUGUCUUUCGGAUAACAUCAGGAAACUGGGGCUAAUAUCGGAUAGGAGCUCCUGCUGCAUGGUGGGGGUUGGAAAGUGUCGGCGGUUGGGGAUGGACUCGCGGCUUACCAGCUUGUUGGUGGGGUAGUGGCUUACCAAGGCUUUGACGGGUAGCCGGCCUGAGAGGGUGACCGGCCACAUUGCGACUGAGGUACGGCCCAGACGCCUACGGGAGGCAGCGGUGGGGAAUAUUGCACAGUGGGCGGGAGCCUGAUACAGCAGCGCCGCGUGCGGGAUGACGGCCUUCGGGUUAUAAACCGCUUUCGCCUGUGACGAAGCGUGAGUGACGGUAAUGGGUAAAGAAGCACCGGCUAACUACGUG